GACGAACGCUGGCGGCGUGCUUAACACAUGCAAGUCGAGCGGAAAGGCCUCUUUCGGGGGGUACUCGAGUGGCGAACGGGUGAGUAACACGUGAGUAACCUGCCCUUGACUUUGGGAUAACUUCUGGAAACUGGGGCUAAUACCGGAUAGGAGCUCCUGCUGCAUGGUGGGGGUUGGAAAGUUUCGGCGGUUGGGGAUGGACUCGCGGCUUAUCAGCUUGUUGGUGGGGUAUUGGCUUACCAAGGCUUUGUCGGGUAGCCGGCCUGGGAGGGUGACCGGCCACAUUGGGACUGGGAUACGGCCCAGACUCCUACGGGAGGGAGCAGUGGGGAAUAUUGCACAAUGGGUGGGAGGCUGAUGCAGCAACGCCGUGUGCGGGGUGACGGGCUUCGGGUUGUAAACCGCUUUCGCUCAGGACGAAGCUUUGUGUGACGGUAGUGGGUAAAGAAGCACCGGCUAACUACGUG
rnacentral:rRNA from 1 species